rnacentral:rRNA from 1 species
UACGUAGGGUGCAAGCGUUAAUCGGAAUUACUGGGCGUAAAGCGUGCGCAGGCGGUUAUGUAAGACAGGUGUGAAAUCCCCGGGCUUAACCUGGGAACUGCAUUUGUGACUGCAUAGCUAGAGUACGGUAGAGGGGGAUGGAAUUCCGCGUGUAGCAGUGAAAUGCGUAGAUAUGCGGAGGAACACCGAUGGCGAAGGCAAUCCCCUGGACCUGUACUGACGCUCAUGCACGAAAGCGUGGGGGAGCAAACAGGG